rnacentral:rRNA from 1 species
UACGGAGGUGGCAAGCGUUGCUCGGAUUUACUGGGUGUAAAGGGCACGUAGGCGGUCUCGUAAGCCCCACCUGAAAUGCUCCGGCUUAACCGGAGCAGGUGGUGGGGGACUGCAAGACUUGAGGACGGGAGAGGUGAGCGGAAUUCCCGGUGUAAGGGUGAAAUCUGUAGAGAUCGGGAGGAACACCCGUGGCGAAAGCGGCUCACUGGCCCGUUUCUGACGCUGAGGUGCGAAAGCUAGGGGAGCAAACAGG